rnacentral:misc_RNA from 1 species
AACCUUAUGGACCUGCGGGCGUAUACCUGCGGAGGGAUCAUUAACCUUUCAAAUCAGGGUGCGGCGCGGCCCCCGAGGAGCGGAAACAAUCCUUGGGAGGUAUGCGGGGGCUUCGAGCCCCCCAUUUACGCACGCACGACUGCCAUCCUUACUUUACGGGCACCUUCUGUUCUCCCUCGGCGGGGCAACCUGCCGUUGGAACCGAAUAAACUCUUUUUGCAUCUAGCAUUACCUGUUCCG